UCAAAAUUGAGCCUGGCUUAUUAUUCAGUAUCUCAAGAGUCAGAACAAACAAUAUGCUACAUGAAAUAUUGUAUUAUUUACUGCUUGUUUCAGUAGCCCGGGGCGGAUAGUUUUUGUCACGCAAGAGGAGAACUUUUCUGUGUCCAAAGAUUUCCCCCCUUCCAGCAAUUCAGGACCUGUGGGCGGAACAUUCGCAAGCCUUGAAACCUCAACGUUAAAACAACGAUCGGACUGUGGGGAUGACAACAUUAAUCAAUCCGUUAUCCUGAUGGAAGAGAAGAAGUGCAGUGUGGAUGAGAACUCAGACUCGAGUAGGAACAGCUUCGUGUGUCGAUCCAUUUCUUUCUCAGCAAGCUCCAGCCCCAAUGAAUCAGACUCACCACUGGAGUUUCAAGUGAGAAAAAAACACCAAAAUCUCAGCGGUGGUAACAAGCAUCCACACACCACCAUCGUUUCCAAUGAGUUCUACAACAGCAGUGAACCACAGAAAUCUCCACUACCCAUAGCUAUAACUGUGGAUCAGAUAAGCACUUUGAAAUUCCUUAAAGACGGUCAAAAACGUGACAAUUAUUACUUUCAUGUUAGGUUACAGAAAUUCUAUAAAGAGCUAGGAAUAUAAUAGAUUUAUUAGAAAAUGCUCUUUAUCGUCAAGUAUUCUCUUGAUGCAGGAGCAUUUUCAUGUAAGUUACACACUGUUGACAUAGAAUUACAUGUAACAUUUAUACACACACGUGUUUGAAAAGGUUUACAACGAAAGACAUCGUAUUAUAUAGUUCCUUUCCUUAUACAAAUACAAUUACAUGUUGUCCGCCGAACAUAGUUGGAUUUUGAUAAUUACGUAAUUAUAACGGUAUAAAAAAGAGACAAACUCCUAAUAUAGUGUUUCAGUUUUGAAAAACAUGUUCUUAGUUGACAUUUGAAAGGUGAAGGAGAGAACGGCAUUGUUUUGGGAAGAAGAUUUUGAAACAUUUUUUAGUGCAAAAGAAAGAAAACAGGGUUGAGAGUCGUCCUGUAGCAUAUUUACGAAUCAAAUCGCUCACUAUACCCAUAUAUUUGUGAACAGAAUCAGCUAUUCUAAUAUUGGUUAAGUAGUCAAGCGUGUUGUCUCCAAAUAUAACAUUUUCAAUGCAGGGGACGAAAUAUACGGAUAUUGUGGUAAGCAUUUCGCUGCAAAUAUGUACAUACUUAGUGCAUUUGAGAAAUAAUGUGACGUCGUUUCGCGAAGUCCACAUAGACGUAACGGGGAUAUAGUAAUAUUACGUCUGAAAAGAUGUUCAUUUAAGGCACUACACUUUGUAUGUACGAAAAUAGGGGAAAUUGAAUCUGUCGGUCUAUGUGGAUCGAUUCAGCGUUUUUGACGAGAUCGGGAAGAUUAUUCCAUUCAGAUACAGUGGACGGUGAAUACGAAAUUUAAUACAGUGACGUUCGCGCUUGAAUUAGUUGGAGAUGUGACGAAUUUCUUAAUGAGUAUUUGCAACGCGACCCAACAGUUGCAUGAAAAGGGACUGCAAGUAUUUCGAAAUAAUCUUAGAUUUCAUUUUAUACAUUGAUAUGAAUUUAUGUAUGCGUCUUCGUUGACUGAUAGUUUCCAAUCAAAGCUGAUUGUAAAGAUCUUCCAAUGAGACUUACAUGUGCAUCCGGUUGUUAUUUGCGCGGCUUCAGUUUUUCUAGUUAAUCUUUUUCGUAUUGCGUACAAAUGUCAGUUACAGCGUCUGAGUACCCAACGAUUAGUUUAAUAAACGCAAUAUAUAUUUUCUCGAGAUUUUUUCUAUCCAGCAUUAGUUUUAAUCGACGCAUUAUAUGAAUACGUGCCCAGGCCUUUGUCUCAUGUUCUGAAAAUGGAGGAUAAUUUGGAAUCGGAAAUAAAAUUAGCUAAUCUCUCCCUUAAUUUUAAACACAAAAAUGUUGGUUCUCAAACAAUAGUAUCUAACGUCCGUUUACUUUAAGAUACUCGUAAUAAUUAAAGUCAUUCAUGUUAUAUAUUUAAGUUAAUAUUUUCUUAUUCUAUGUUUAUCCUUCGAUGAUAACAUGGCGGUAGAAAUGCAAGUCUUACGGAGAUAAGGCAACUCAAAUUAAUUUGUUAUAAAAGUUCAUACAUAAUGCGUUCUAUGUACAGGUCGAGUCGUAUCGUUAAUGGUUAACAUAACAUAAAAUUUGAAAAUGCAAGUUUGACUAUAAUAAUGCAAAAAACACAGCUUGCUUAUGUUUAGUUUCUGAUAACAGCAAUCUUCUUUAGUAAACUUUAUUUUUA